rnacentral:rRNA from 1 species
CGUCUAGCGAGACUGCCAGUGAUAAACUGGAGGAAGGUGGGGAUGACGUCAAAUCAUCAUGCCCCUUAUGACCUGGGCUACAAACGUGAUACAAUGGCUGAAACAAAGGGCAGCGAAGCAGUGAUGUGAAGCGAAACCCAAAAAAGCAGUCUCAGUUCGGAUUGAAGUCUGCAACUCGACUUCAUGAAGUCGGAAUCGCUAGUAAUCGCGAAUCAGAACGUCGCGGUGAAUACGUUCUCGGGGUUU